UCGGGUUCUGAAAGCUGGGUUACUGGCUGGGGCAAUACAGAAGAAGGAGGUAUGGCAUCUGAAGUCCUACGGAAGGUCUCGGUACCUUUAAUUAACACCGAAGACUGUAGAAGGCUUUAUUAUGCAGAACUCUUUCCUCGUAUGAUUUGUGCUGGCUACCAACAAGGCGGAUUUGACGCAUGUCAGGGUGACAGCGGUGGCCCUUUAGCUAUCAACCAGAACUCAUUCUGGUGGCUAGUAGGUGCUACAAGCUGGGGUUAUGGAUGUGGCAGAG